rnacentral:misc_RNA from 1 species
GUAUAGAUUUAUAGGCACAAAGGCCCAUUGAUAACAUUCUAUGACAUACAUUAGGGUAUAUGAAGAAACAUAGGCCUGAAAAUGUAAGGAGAGACAUAAAGUCAAUCCUCAAACCUGAGCAGCACUCAGAGAGAUAUCCAGGUCUACAAAAGGUGCACAGGUGGAGAUAUAAAGACGACAAGUGUGCACAUGCUCCCUAGAGAACCAGCAACAACUCAUCAGAUUUAUUUCAAUAAUGAUCCUUCCGCAGGUUCACCUACGGAAA